rnacentral:rRNA from 1 species
GUCGUCAGCUCGUGUCGUGAGAUGUUGGGUUAAGUCCCGCAACGAGCGCAACCCUUAUUAUUAGUUGCCAGCAUUAAGUUGGGCACUCUAAUGAGACUGCCGGUGACAAACCGGAGGAAGGUGGGGAUGACGUCAAGUCAUCAUGCCCCUUAUGACCUGGGCUACACACGUGCUACAAUGGGCAGUACAACGAGGAGCGAACUUGUGAAGGCAAGCGAAUCUCUGAAAGCUGUUCUCAGUUCGGACUGUAGGCUGCAACUCGCCUACACGAAGCUGGAAUCGCUAGUAAUCGCGGAUCAGCACGCCGCGGUGAAUACGUUCCCGGG